CGUCUGGCAGCGCAGGUCCAGCAGCGUGGGCCCCAGGAAGGCGAUGCACAGGCCGAAGCUGAAGAAGACGCUCCAGUAGCUGCCCGUCCCACCCGCGUCCUUGCACGGCCCGCCCGGGGGCGGAGGGGCCUGAGCCCCCAUUGCAGAGCUGGGCGAACUGAGCCCGAGGCGUCCUGGAUGCUCGCACAGCCUGGAGGGCGGGCUCUUCCAGCGCUCCGCGUCCGCUCGGGGAGCGACAGUUUCCCCCCAGACUGCAGCCUGGCUUGGGCUGUGCCGUGGAGGAACCCCGGAGCACAGCCCCCUACACUUCGGGGGAUUCACAGAUGGACUUCGAGGGUCUGACAGCGCCCCCAUCUUUCCCUGGAAUAGAAGACAAUCACCUACAUACAUGCUUUUCUUGGGAGAGUAUUCAUGGCUUUCGUUAGCACCUCCAGAGGAAACUUCUCCGGAAAAAUCCUACCCAAUCCCCGAAUUCCAGCAAGCCCCCGAUCCCCUCCUGGCCCCCUAUAAUCUUCAGGGUCAGCUGUUACACCCAGGGACUGCCGGCUUCCUCUUCCUGCCACCCUGCCUCCCCUGCAGCCAGUUAAACGUGCCUCUCUCCAAGGAAGGGCUAUGAGCUCGGCUCUUCACUGAGUGCCAGGACUGGCUCUUCGGUGGAGCUGUUCGCCCUCUCCUGACUCCCUGACUCCCGCUUACACCUGGGCGUUGAUAAGCAAUCCAUCAGCCACCCGGGAUCAAGCUCUGCAUCUGGGCUCCCAGCUCAGCGGGGAGCCUGCUUCUUCUCCUUCUCCCUCGAAACUCC